ACUAUGGUCCCAAAUCCCGAUUUGGUGGCAUAAAGUCCAAAAUUUCAUGGAAGAAAAUCUGAAUUUUUUUUUUAUGUAUUUAAACUAGAUACCCUAGAUAGAAAGUAUCAAUAAAUAUUUUUGUCAAAAAUGCAACCUUGCAAUUUUUACAGAUGUUUAAAGUCAGGUGAUUGAGCAGCUGAUUUUUGGGACAAAAUUGGCGGGAAAUUUUUAAUAACUUUGAGCGCUUGGCAAAUCUAAACUAAACAAUAUUUUUCUAUUAUUUAAAAUGGAUAUUGAAGUUGGAGGAAAUCAAAAAGCUGACAAAAGUGUUCGUCCUCUGUAGAGGAAAAAAAGGUGUUCUGCGUAUUUGUGCGUUGUUUAAUUUUGGUUUGCGGCUUUUUGCGGCUUUUCCGAUGCUUUAAUUAUUUAGAUGUGCUUGAAUUCUGUCACGCCACGUUGCUGGACGUGUGGAUGGACAGCGGGCGCCAC